GGAAGGACUGUAGCUCUGUGGCAGAGCACCUGUUUUGUAUGCAAAAGGUCUCAGGUUCAGUCCCUGGCAUCUCCA